rnacentral:lncRNA from 1 species
GUAGAGACGGGGUUUCACCGUGUCAGCCAGGAUGGUCUCGAUCUCCUGACUUUGUGAUCUGCCCGCCUCGGCCUCCCAAAGUGCUGGGAUUACAGACGUGAGCCACCGCACCCAGCCUGAUGUUUUCUUAUAUGCCUUUUUCACUCAGCAGUGAGUCAUGACUACCUUCCCAUGUCAGUAAAUAGAGGGCUACUCUACCACGUUUAAUAGCAGAAUUGUUCUGUGUUGUGUGGACAUAUUUACUGGGAUGUAUCCAGCCAACCCCAUGCCCAUGGGACAUUUGUGCUGUUCCCCAUUUGUUGCUGUUACAAACAACAGUGC